UACAGAGGGUGCAAGCGUUGUUCGGAAUUAUUGGGCGUAAAGGGCGCGUAGGUGGCCUUCUAAGUUGAACGUGAAAUCCCUGGGCUCAACCCAGGAACUGCGUCCAAGACUGGGAGGCUUGAAUCCGGGAGAGGGAUGCGGAAUUCCAGGUGUAGCGGUGAAAUGCGUAGAUAUCUGGAGGAACACCGGUGGCGAAGGCGGCAUCCUGGACCGGGAUUGACACUGAGGCGCGAAAGCCAGGGGAGCAAACGGG
rnacentral:rRNA from 1 species